rnacentral:lncRNA from 1 species
CGAGGCGCGCACCACGCGGCCCCUUCCUCCAGGCAUUCGCACCACCCCCCACUCCCGUUGCAUGCUGGGAUUGUAGUUGAUCGCCUGCGAUCAACGGCCGGAAGCGGCUAAAACUACUCCUGCCUGCAUACCCCGCAGGAGCAAACCGCGCCAUGUCUCCCUCCAGGGAUCCGCACCGCUCACAAUCCUGUUUAGUGCUGGGAUUGUAGUCCUGCGAGCCUACGACUAAUAGCUGGGUGCGGAUAAGAGACUACAGCUCCCCCCAUUCCCAGCAAAGGUCCCUCCUCCACCGAGCUCCUCCAGGCUUCCAGUGCAGUUCCGCCGUGCGGAGGGAAGCUUGGCUGUUCACAAACCUCUCCUGCCCGCGAGGAGACAGCUUGGCCAGGGCGGCUGAUCUCACCUUGUCAUUGUGACACGGUGUCUCCCCAACGUGCUGGCUUCAUGACUUGUGCCCAGAGUUUGAUUUUCCACAGACCAGGUAGAGGCCAAGAGCCUCUCACAGACUCUGCAGCAGGGUUGCUAUGAUUAACUCUUAAGUACUCCACAACUACACGCUUUUGAAACUGGCGUUGGCAUAGCGUUAGUUCUGUGCAGGGCGGACGCAGCAGGACAGAAUCUCCCUGGGCAUCUUUUCGGAGCAUCAAUUUUACUGCAAAAUUUUGAAAAAACAAAUUUAAUUGAUUUCCAAGGUUUGUCAAGGAGGACAGAAACUCAGAGCACCCUGCACUUGGGGAUCGGCACUAGGAGCUGCUCUCUGGAUGGGGAGAUGGGAGCUAGCAGCUCACAAUGGGGUCACAAGAUGCAUGGUGAAUAUUUGAUGUUUUAGAACAAAAAUGUAUUUACAAAUCUCAUUUGAUGCAGACAUCUGAAAAUACUCAGAAGUUACAAGAAUUCAUAAAAUACCCACCAAAGCUAAUAGAAAACAUGGAACCUUCCAGGACAAGAAGUAAAUUAAAAGAACAACCCAGAGGAGUAAUCAAAGUGAGAAGCCAGUGCCGCCUCCAGGUACUGGAUGAUCACAGGGACCUCAGGCUUUGGGGAUUAUUCAACUACCUUCUUGGAAUAAACAACAAAAAAAGUAC